rnacentral:lncRNA from 1 species
GUUGCUCUCUCUUGUACAUAAAGGCUUCUACAGCCAGAGACAUGAGUCGGGUUUUGUUUUGUUGUAAGUUUAGACAUUGCUACUUCCUUGUAGAUGCAUGUGUCGACUAGACCAUCUGUUCUACUUGAUUCAAAACCCCAUAUUGUUAUCGUGAUUCAUAUCAGAUCCUUCUUGUAUUAUUUGGCAAUUGAGUGCCUGUUCUAUCUGUUCUUGCAUGUUCUUCAAUUGCGUGUAGGAAUUACCCUAGUGGUUUGGUUGGUUGUGAUCAACAAGAUCGUGAUCAAACGCUGGAAUUGGUGUAUCGAUCGCUAAGGCGCAGUGUCCUUGGACGGUUGUAGUCGGAUCGUGAAUGUCGCUCCAGAGAGAUCGAAGUUAUCCAUCUCCACCGAAAGAUUGGGACACCCUCGUUCUUAUUAGUUAGUUUAGGUGCAAGAUUGGUUCAUGGUUUGCGCAUAAUGCACCAUAGGCUCAGAAACCAUUAUGGAAGCACCCGACGAUAAUCCUAGGUGAAGAGGCUCAAGUGGAAGGUCGGUUCGAUCUGUUUGGAGAUAGUGCUAAUCU